rnacentral:rRNA from 1 species
CCCUUAGAUGUCCUGGGCCGCACGCGUGCUACACUGACGCCUACAGCGAGUACUUCCCAGCCCCGAGAGGUGGCUGGUAAUCAGCAAUAGGCGUCGUGAUGGGGAUAGAUCUUUGGAAUUAUGGAUCUUGAACGAGGAAUGCCUAGUAAGCGCAGGUCAUUAGCCUGCGCUGAUUAAGUCCCUGCCCUUUGUACACACCGCCCGUCGCUCCUACCGAUUUCGAGUGGUCCGGUGAAUCUUUCGGACUGCGCGCGGCCUCGUGCCGUGUCGCGGAAAGUCAGGUAAACCUUAUCACUUAGAGGAAGGGGAANUCGUANCA